GAUGAACGCUAGCGGCAGGCCUAAUACAUGCAAGUCGGACGGGAUCCAUUGAUAGCUUGCUAUCAAUGGUGAGAGUGGCGCACGGGUGCGUAACGCGUGAGCAACCUGCCUCCAUCAGGGGGAUAGCCUCUCGAAAGAGAGAUUAACACCGCAUAAUAUCAACAGUUCGCAUGUUCAGUUGAUUAAAUAUUUAUAGGAUGGAGAUGGGCUCGCGUGACAUUAGCUAGUUGGUAGGGUAACGGCUUACCAAGGCGACGAUGUCUAGGGGCUCUGAGAGGAGAAUCCCCCACACUGGUACUGGGACACGGACCAGACUCCUACGGGAGGCAGCAGUAAGGGAUAUUGGUCAAUGGGCGGAAGCCUGAACCAGCCAUGCCGCGUGCAGGAUGACUGCCCUAUGGGUUGUAAACUGCUUUUGUCCAGGAAUAAACCUAAAUACGAGUAUUUAGCUGAAUGUACUGGAAGAAUAAGAAUCGGCUAACUCCGUG
rnacentral:rRNA from 1 species